rnacentral:rRNA from 1 species
UUGACCUCAAAUCAGGUAGGACUACCCGCUGAACUUAAGCAUAUCAAUAAGCGGAGGAAAAGAAACUAACAAGGAUUCCCCUAGUAACUGCGAGUGAAGCGGGAAAAGCUCAAAUUUGAAAUCUGGCAGUCUUUGAUUGUCCGAGUUGUAAUCUAGAGAAGUUGUUACCUGUGCAGGACCGUGUACAAGUCUCCUGGAAUGGGGCAUCAUAGAGGGUGAGAAUCCCGUCUUUGACAUGGACUACCUGUAUGUUGUGGUGCGCUCUCAAAGAGUCGAGUUGUUUGGGAAUGCAGCUCAAAAUGGGUGGUAAAUGCCAUCUAAAGCUAAAUAUUGGCGAGAGACCGAUAGCGAACAAGUACCGUGAGGGAAAGAUGAAAAGCACUUUGGAAAGAGAGUUAAACAGUACGUGAAAUUGCUGAAAGGGAAACGCUUGAAGUCAGUCACAUUGGCCAGAAAUCAGCCUUGCUUUUGUGAGGUGUACUUUCUGUUUGAUGGGUCAGCAUCAAUUUUGAUCGCUGGAUAAAGUCUCUGGGAAUGUGGCAUCUUCGGAUGUGUUAUAGCCCAUUGUCGUA